GGAAGCGUGGCUGAGUGGUUUAAAGCACCGGUUUCGAAAACCGGCAUACCGCAAGGUAUCGUGAGUUCGAAUCUCACCGCUUCCGCUA
rnacentral:tRNA from 4 species